GACGAACGCUGGCGGCAUGCCUAACACAUGCAAGUCGAACGGCGAUUACUUCGGUAAUCUUUGUUGCGAACGGGUGAGUAACGCGUGGGCAACCUUCCCUCUAGAUGUGGACAACAUCCCGAAAGAAGUGCUAAUACCGUACGUGACAGCAAUCUCGCAUGAGGAUGCUGUGGAAGAUGGCCUCCAUUUAUAAGCUGUCGCUAGAGGAUGGGCCUGCGUCUGAUUAGCUAGUUGGUGGGGUAACGGCCUACCAAGGCGGUGAUCAGUAGCCGGUCUGAGAGGAUGGACGGCCACAUUGGGACUUAGAACACGCUCAGAACCCUACGGGAGGCAGCAGGGGGGAAACAUUCGACAUGGGCGAAAGCCCGAAGGAGGCAAGCCGCGUGAGGGAUGAAGGAAUUCGGUGUGUAAAGCCCUUUUGGUUAGGACGAAAGUGCAGAAGGUAAAUAAUAAGCUGUAAUGACGGUAGUAAAAGAAUAAGCAACGGCUAACUACGUG
rnacentral:rRNA from 1 species